rnacentral:rRNA from 1 species
UACGUAGGGGGCUAGCGUUGUCCGGAUUUAUUGGGCGUAAAGAGCGUGUAGGCGGCCAGGUAGGUCUGGUGUGAAAACUCGAGGCUUAACCUCGAGAUGUCAUCGGAAACCCUCUGGCUAGAGUCCGGAAGAGGAGAGCGGAAUUCCUGGUGUAGCGGUGAAAUGCGCAGAUAUCAGGAAGAACACCCGUGGCGAAGGCGGCUCUCUGGGACGGUACUGACGCUGAGACGCGAAAGCGUGGGGAGCGAACAGG